UUAAGCGACUAAGCGUACACGGUGGAUGCCCUGGCAGUCAGAGGCGAUGAAGGACGUGCUAAUCUGCGAAAAGCGUCGGUAAGGUGAUAUGAACCGUUACAGCCGGCGAUGUCCGAAUGGGGAAACCCAGUGCAAUUCGUUGCACUAUCGUUAACUGAAUACAUAGGUUAACGAGGCGAACCGGGGGAACUGAAACAUCUAAGUACCCCGAGGAAAAGAAAUCAACCGAGAUUCCCCCAGUAGCGGCGAGCGAACGGGGAGCAGCCCAGAGUCUGAAUCAGCUUGUGUGUUAGUGGAACGGUCUGGAAAGUCCGACGGUACAGGGUGAUAGUCCCGUACACCAAAAUGCACAGGCUGUGAACUCGAAGAGUAGGGCGGGACACGUGGUAUCCUGUCUGAAUAUGGGGGGACCAUCCUCCAAGGCUAAAUACUCCUGACUGACCGAUAGUGAACCAGUACCGUGAGGGAAAGGCGAAAAGAACCCCGGCGAGGGGAGUGAAAAAGAACCUGAAACCGUGUACGUACAAGCAGUGGGAGCACCUUCGGGUGUGACUGCGUACCUUUUGUAUAAUGGGUCAGCGACUUAUAUUCUGUAGCAAGGUUAACCGUAUAGGGGAGCCGCAGGGAAACCGAGUCUUAACUGGGCGUUAAGUUGCAGGGUAUAGACCCGAAACCCGGUGAUCUAGCCAUGGGCAGGUUGAAGGUUGGGUAACACUAACUGGAGGACCGAACCGACUAAUGUUGAAAAAUUAGCGGAUGACUUGUGGCUGGGGGUGAAAGGCCAAUCAAACCGGGAGAUAGCUGGUUCUCCCCGAAAGCUAUUUAGGUAGCGCCUCGUGAACUCAUCUUCGGGGGUAGAGCACUGUUUCGGCUAGGGGGUCAUCCCGACUUACCAACCCGAUGCAAACUACGAAUACCGAAGAAUGUUAUCACGGGAGACACACGGCGGGUGCUAACGUCCGUCGUGAAGAGGGAAACAACCCAGACCGCCAGCUAAGGUCCCAAAGUCAUGGUUAAGUGGGAAACGAUGGGAAGGCACAGACAGCCGGAUGUUGGCUUAGAAGCAGCCAUCAUUUAAAGAAAGCGUAAUAGCUCACUGGUCGAGUCGGCCUGCGCGGAAGAUGUAACGGGGCUAAACCAUGCACCGAAGCUGCGGCAGCGACACUAUGUGUUGUUGGGUAGGGGAGCGUUCUGUAAGCCUGCGAAGGUGUGCUGUGAGGCAUGCUGGAGGUAUCAGAAGUGCGAAUGCUGACAUAAGUAACGAUAAAGCGGGUGAAAAGCCCGCUCGCCGGAAGACCAAGGGUUCCUGUCCAACGUUAAUCGGGGCAGGGUGAGUCGACCCCUAAGGCGAGGCCGAAAGGCGUAGUCGAUGGGAAACAGGUUAAUAUUCCUGUACUUGGUGUUACUGCGAAGGGGGGACGGAGAAGGCUAUGUUAGCCGGGCGACGGUUGUCCCGGUUUAAGCAUGUAGGCUGAUUGUCCAGGCAAAUCCGGAUAAUCAAGGCUGAGGUGUGAUGACGAGGCACUACGGUGCUGAAGUAACAAAUGCCCUGCUUCCAGGAAAAGCCUCUAAGCAUCAGGUAACAUCAAAUCGUACCCCAAACCGACACAGGUGGUCAGGUAGAGAAUACCAAGGCGCUUGAGAGAACUCGGGUGAAGGAACUAGGCAAAAUGGUGCCGUAACUUCGGGAGAAGGCACGCUGGUGUAGGUGAAGUCCCUGCGGAUGGAGCUGAGACCAGUCGAAGAUACCAGCUGGCUGCAACUGUUUAUUAAAACACAGCACUGUGCAAACACGAAAGUGGACGUAUACGGUGUGACGCCUGCCCGGUGCCGGAAGGUUAAUUGAUGGGGUUAUCCGUAAGGAGAAGCUCUUGAUCGAAGCCCGGUAAACGGCGGCCGUAACUAUAACGGUCCUAAGGUAGCGAAAUUCCUUGUCGGGUAAGUUCCGACCUGCACGAAUGGCGUAAUGAUGGCCAGGCUGUCUCCACCCGAGACUCAGUGAAAUUGAACUCGCUGUGAAGAUGCAGUGUACCCGCGGCAAGACGGAAAGACCCCGUGAACCUUUACUAUAGCUUGACACUGAACAUUGAGCCUUGAUGUGUAGGAUAGGUGGGAGGCUUUGAAGCGUGGACGCCAGUCUGCGUGGAGCCAACCUUGAAAUACCACCCUUUAAUGUUUGAUGUUCUAACGUUGGCCCCUGACCGGGGUUGCGGACAGUGUCUGGUGGGUAGUUUGACUGGGGCGGUCUCCUCCCAAAGCGUAACGGAGGAGCACGAAGGUUAGCUAAUCCUGGUCGGACAUCAGGAGGUUAGUGCAAUGGCAUAAGCUAGCUUGACUGCGAGCGUGACGGCGCGAGCAGGUGCGAAAGCAGGUCAUAGUGAUCCGGUGGUUCUGAAUGGAAGGGCCAUCGCUCAACGGAUAAAAGGUACCCGGGGAUAACAGGCUGAUACCGCCCAAGAGUUCAUAUCGACGGCGGUGUUUGGCACCUCGAUGUCGGCUCAUCACAUCCUGGGGCUGAAGUAGGUCCCAAGGGUAUGGCUGUUCGCCAUUUAAAGUGGUACGCGAGCUGGGUUUAGAACGUCGUGAGACAGUUCGGUCCCUAUCUGCCGUGGGCGCUGGAGAAUUGAGGGGGGCUGCUCCUAGUACGAGAGGACCGGAGUGGACGCAUCACUGGUGUUCGGGUUGUCAUGCCAAUGGCACUGCCCGGUAGCUAAAUGCGGAAGAGAUAAGUGCUGAAAGCAUCUAAGCACGAAACUUGCCCCGAGAUGAGUUCUCCCUGAGACUAUAAGUCUCCUGAAGGAACGUUGAAGACGACGACGUUGAUAGGCCGGGUGUGUAAGCGCAGCGAUGCGUUGAGCUAACCGGUACUAAUGAACCGUGAGGCUUAACCU
rnacentral:rRNA from 1 species